rnacentral:rRNA from 1 species
CCCUUAGACGUUCUGGGCCGCACGCGCGCUACACUGACGGAGCCAGCGAGUAUAAACCUUGGCCGAGAGGUCUGGGAAAUCUUGUGAAACUCCGUCGUGCUGGGGAUAGAGCAUUGUAAUUAUUGCUCUUCAACGAGGAAUUCCUAGUAAGCGCAAGUCAUCAGCUUGCGUUGAUUACGUCCCUGCCCUUUGUACACACCGCCCGUCGCUACUACCGAUUGAACGGCUUAGUGAGGCUUCCGGAUUGGUUUAGAGAAGGGGGCAACUCCAUCUUGGAACCGAGAAGCUAGUCAAACUUGGUCAUUUAGAGGAAGUAAAAGUCGUAACA